AGAGUUUGAUCCUGGCUCAGGAUGAACGCUGGCGGCGUGCCUAACACAUGCAAGUCGAGCGAUGAAGCCCUUCGGGGUGGAUUAGCGGCGGACGGGUGAGUAACACGUGGGUAACCUGCCUCAAAGAGGGGGAUAGCCUCCCGAAAGGGAGAUUAAUACCGCAUAACAUUAGCUUUUCGCAUGGAAAGCUAAUUAAAGGAGUAAUCCGCUUUGAGAUGGACCCGCGGCGCAUUAGCUAGUUGGUGAGGUAAAGGCUCACCAAGGCGACGAUGCGUAGCCGACCUGAGAGGGUGAUCGGCCACAUUGGAACUGAGACACGGUCCAGACUCCUACGGGAGGCAGCAGUGGGGAAUAUUGCACAAUGGGCGAAAGCCUGAUGCAGCAACGCCGCGUGAGUGAUGAAGGCCUUCGGGUUGUAAAGCUCUGUCUUUGGGGACGAUAAUGACGGUACCCAAGGAGGAAGCCACGGCUAACUACGUGCCAGCAGCCGCGGUAAUACGUAGGUGGCGAGCGUUGUCCGGAUUUACUGGGCGUAAAGGAUGCGUAGGUGGAUGUUUAAGUCAGAUGUGAAAUACCCGAGCUUAACUUGGGUGCUGCAUUUGAAACUGGAUAUCUAGAGUGCAGGAGAGGUAAGUGGAAUUCCUAGUGUAGCGGUGAAAUGCGUAGAGAUUAGGAAGAACACCAGUGGCGAAGGCGACUUACUGGACUGUAACUGACACUGAGGCAUGAAAGCGUGGGUAGCAAACAGGAUUAGAUACCCUGGUAGUCCACGCCGUAAACGAUGAGUACUAGGUGUAGGGGGGUCCAACCUUCUGUGCCGCAGUUAACACAAUAAGUACUCCGCCUGGGAAGUACGAUCGCAAGAUUAAAACUCAAAGGAAUUGACGG
rnacentral:rRNA from 1 species